rnacentral:rRNA from 1 species
AGUGAACGCUGGCGGUAGGCCUAACACAUGCAAGUCGAACGGCAGCACAGUAAGAGCUUGCUCUUACGGGUGGCGAGUGGCGGACGGGUGAGGAAUACAUCGGAAUCUACUUUUUCGUGGGGGAUAACGUAGGGAAACUUACGCUAAUACCGCAUACGACCUACGGGUGAAAGCAGGGGAUCUUCGGACCUUGCGCGAUUGAAUGAGCCGAUGUCGGAUUAGCUAGUUGGCGGGGUAAAGGCCCACCAAGGCGACGAUCCGUAGCUGGUCUGAGAGGAUGAUCAGCCACACUGGAACUGGGACACGGUCCAGACUCCUACGGGAGGCAGCAGUGGGGAAUAUUGGACAAUGGGCGCAAGCCUGAUCCAGCCAUACCGCGUGGGUGAAGAAGGCCUUCGGGUUGUAAAGCCCUUUUGUUGGGAUAGAAAAGCAGCAGGUUAAUACCCCGCUGUUCUGACGGUACCCAAAGAAUAAGCACCGGCUAACUUCGUG